rnacentral:rRNA from 1 species
AUUGAACGCUGGCGGCAUGCUUUACACAUGCAAGUCGAACGGUAGAGGGGGCAACCCCUUGAGAGUGGCGAACGGGUGAGUAAUGCAUCGGAACGUGCCCAGUCGUGGGGGAUAGCCCGGGGAAACCCGGAUUAAUACCGCAUACGACCUGAGGGUGAAAGCGGGGGACCGAAAGGCCUCGCGCGAUUGGAGCGGCCGAUGUCGGAUUAGGUAGUUGGUGGGGUAAAGGCCUACCACGCCUGCGAUCCGUAGCUGGUCUGAGAGGACGACCAGCCACACUGGGACUGAGACACGGCCCAGACUCCUACGGGAGGCAGCAGUGGGGAAUUUUGGACAAUGGGCGCAAGCCUGAUCCAGCCAUGCCGCGUGCGGGAAGAAGGCCUUCGGGUUGUAAACCGCUUUUGUCAGGGAAGAAAUCCUUUGGACUAAUACUCUGGGGGAUGACGGUACCUGAGGAAUAAGCACCGGCUAACUACGUGCCAGCCGCCGCCGUAA